GACGAACGCUGGCGGCGUGCCUAAUACAUGCAAGUCGAGCGGACGGAUCGGAGCUUGUUCCCCGCCCGUCCGCGGCGGACGGGUGAGUAACCCGUGGGCAACCUUCCUGUACGGCUGGGAUAACUCCGGCAAACCGGGGCUAACACCGGAUAACUCUUUCCCCCACAUGUGGGCAAGCUGUAAGAUGGCAUCUCGCUAUCACUUACAGCUGGGCCCGCGGCGCAUCAGCUAGUUGGUGAGGUAACGGCUCACCAAGGCGACGAUGCGUAGCCGACCUGAGAGAGUGGUCGGACACACGGGGACUGAGACUCGGCAGAGACUCCUGCAGGAAGCAGCAGUAGGGAAUCUUACGCAAUGGAGGAAAGUCUGACAGAGCAACGCCGCGUGAGUGAUGAAGGAUUUCGGAUCGGAGAGCGCUGUUGGCAGGGAAGAACAAGUGCCGGAGUAACUGCCGGGACAUUGACGGUACCGGAAGAGAAAGCCACGGCUAACUACGUG
rnacentral:rRNA from 1 species